rnacentral:misc_RNA from 1 species
UUUCCGUAGGUGAACCUGCGGAAGGAUCAUUAUCGAAUUUCGAGGGGAAGGAAGAUGAGGAGUGGAGACUGUCGCUGGCUAUCCCGCCUGGGAAGCAUGUGCACGCCUUGCUUUUCGUUGACCUUUCUCUUACUCUCACACCUGUGCACCCAUUGUAGGUCCUCGAAAGAGGAUCUAUGUUUUUAUCAUCACACGCAUCGUAUGUCCAUAGAAUGUAACAUGAUCGUCGAUCGACCUCGCGGUCGGGUGGCGGUCUAAAUAAAUAAAUACAACUUUCAGCAACGGAUCUCUUGGCUCUC